CUCUUCUCCAUGCGUUCACCUAAAAGAAAAUCUUCUCUCUGUUACUAAGAAAAAGUAAAAAAGAAAAAAGAAAAAGCUCCCUUCCCGUUCCCCAUUCUCCCUCCCCAGUGUUGGAUAACGCCGCCGCCGCCGCCUCCCAUCUUCUCGUCGUUCUCGGAGGACGAGGGCAGGAAGAAUAUCGCCUCCGGUGGCUGCACCGUCGUGCCCUCCAGCCGCGCCGCCGUAUCAACGGGACCUUGCGCGGCUCCCUAUUAUUUCAGCUCCACCCGCGCCACCAUCGACGGCGCGGCUCCUCGCGCGGCUGCAGCGGCGCUCCUGGCCGGUAGAGGAGUGAGAGGCCACUGCUUCCUCAGCAUGGUCCUGCUCGCCGACGACGAAGCCCUCCGAGGAGACGGCUCCACUGCUCCGAGCUCCUCCGACCUACUGCUGCCAGCGCCAUGGAGAGUGUAGAGAUGAUCUGAAAUAAGAGUGACACGGGGCCGGAGGAAGGCAGCAGCGGCGGCGCCGUACGCACAACGUACGCCGUGCGUUCGGACGAGUGACGAAGCCAGCCGUCACGGUUUCCUUUCCGUACCCGACGCUAUGCCACGCCCGCCAGCCGUCGUGCUCCGAGCUCCGGCCGCCUUCCUUCCAGAUCCGGCGCCUGCGCGCCGUUUCCCACCGGAUCCGGCGAGAAUCGACCGGUCCUCGCCGACGGCGCCACCGCAAGCCCCUGGCUGCCGCUGGUCUCGUCUGCGUCGUGGGCGACGCAUCGGCCCUUCUUGCUUGCCCGCCUCUCCUUCAAGCCUCUCCAUUUUCUCUUUAGUCUCCGCGCGCGCCCCCCGCCUCCCUGCCGCCGCCUGAUGUGACGCCCGAGUGCAGCGCCGCCGCCCCCUGCAAAAAACGAAAGGUAAGGAUCGCGGGUUGAAUACUCCCAACUCCAGGGUUCUUUUUGUAAAAACGAAACGUUUUCUCAUAUUAGUAACUUAAAAUAGGACUGCGGGUUGAUUUCAUGUAAACUGAGGGGCCUUUCUGUAAAAUUGCCACGACGUACGACCAGAAGCAUUCCGUGCUUUAUUAGUAGGGAAAGACUAGCAAAAGGGCCCGUGCGUUGCAACGGGAGGAAACAUCGGUUACUUUGCAAAUCUGACAAAAUGUAAAAGGGCUCGUGCGUUGCAACGGGAGGAAA